rfam:Felis catus breed Abyssinian Contig9912.1, whole genome shotgun sequence. [26-MAY-2016]
AUCGCUUCUCAGCCUUUUGGCUAAGAUUAAGUGUAGUAUCUGUUCUUAUCAGUUUAAGUAUCUAGGCACAUCUUGACCUAAUUGAAAUGUAUUUUCAAAAGUCUGGAAAUAAAGCUUUAUUUAGUCCACAGUCUUUUUUCAAAUGUCCAGGCUGUUUAAU